rnacentral:rRNA from 1 species
UAGGGAAUUUUCGUCAAUGGGCGCGAGCCUGAACGAGCGAUGCCGCGUGAGUGAAGAAGGCCUUCGGGUCGUAAAGCUCUGUUGCGGGGGAAAAAAGGCAGCAUCAGGAAAUGGGUGCUGACUGAUGGUGCCCCGCCAGAAAGUCACGGCUAACUACGUGCC